rnacentral:rRNA from 1 species
GACGAACGCUGGCGGCGUGCUUAACACAUGCAAGUCGAACGGUGAAGCGCCUUCCUUUUUGGUGGGUGUGGAUGAGUGGCGAACGGGUGAGUAACACGUGAGUAACCUGCCCCCUUCUUCUGGAUAACCGCAUGAAAGUGUGGCUAAUACGGGAUAUUCUGGGUCUGUCGCAUGGUGGGUCUGGGAAAGAUAUUGUUUCGGUGGGGGAUGGGCUCGCGGCCUAUCAGCUUGUUGGUGGGGUGAUGGCCUACCAAGGCGGUGACGGGUAGCCGGCCUGAGAGGGUGGACGGUCACACUGGGACUGAGACACGGCCCAGACUCCUACGGGAGGCAGCAGUGGGGAAUAUUGCACAAUGGGCGAAAGCCUGAUGCAGCGACGCCGCGUGAGGGAUGGAGGCCUUCGGGUUGUGAACCUCUUUCGCCAGUGAAGCAGGCCUGCCUCGUUUGUGGGUGGGUUGACGGUAGCUGGAUAAGAAGCGCCGGCUAACUACGUG